rnacentral:rRNA from 1 species
GACGACGCUGGCGGCGUGCCUAAUACAUGCAAGUCGAGCGGGGAUUAUGCUUGAUCGCUUCGGUGAGACGGCAGAUAUCCUAGCGGCGGACGGGGUGAGUAAACGCGUGGGUAAUCUACCUCGUAGUUCGGGGAUUAACAGGCCGAAAAGGCUUGCUAAUACCGGAUGAGUUCAUGCUUAUGCAUAUAGGCAUGAAGAAAGGGCUAGCCCGCUAUGAGAUGAGCCCGCGUCCCAUUAGCUUGUUGGUGGGGUAAUGGCCUACCAAGGCAACGAUGGGUAGCCGGCCUGAGAGGGUGUACGGCCACACUGGGACUGAGACACGGCCCAGACUCCUACGGGGGGCAGCAGUAGGGAAUUUUCGGCAAUGGGCGAAAGCCUGACCGAGCGACGCCGCGUGAGGGACGAAGGCCUUCGGGUUGUAAACCUCUGUCUGGGGGGAUGAGAACGGACGGUACCCCCGGAGGAAGCCCCGGCUAACUACGUG